GAGGAUCUAGCUCAGCAGUAGAGCUCAUGCUUAGUAUAAGCACGAGGUCCUGGGUUCGAUUCCCAGUACCUCCA
rnacentral:tRNA from 1 species